GUAAAUUUCUCUAUGUAUAUUAUCCUGUGACAACAUCCACCACAUGGGGUGGUCCUCAGAGUCUUGGCUGAGGCUGGAGGGGACCCUAGGAAUAUCGGGAAAGCUAUGCCGUUGUCAGCCUUCAAGGGGUUGCCCCCAAGCCUCUUUAAGCUUCCUCCUCUCCUCUCUUGUGCUGAGACUGUGACCAGCCAGUCAUGCAAAUUCCAGGCCUCUUGAGGUCAGGAGCCUACGUUUUCUCCUGUGGCCUCCAUGUGCCCGGGCAGAGUGAAGC
rnacentral:lncRNA from 1 species